CGCGGCCGCCCGAGCGUGACGGGCAAGAGUGGCGUCUGCGUCGCCCGCCUUCAGCGGCGCUGGACGUGCGUUCGUCUUGGCUUCGAAGGCUUUUCCCGCUGUUUCUCCCGGGCAGCCCCGAGUGGGGUCCGGGCAGACCGGUUCGGGCGAGCCGAGGAGCGUAUCGGUGCAGCAGAGAGACGUGGAAGUAACGUCGGAGACGCGAGAGAAAGAGAGAGAGAGCGCGUGGGCACAAGCAGGCAGAGGGAGAAGCAGGCUCCCCGUUGAGCAGGGAGCCCGACACAUGGCUCGAUCCCAGGACCCUGCAUGACCUGAGCUGAGGGCAGAUGCUUCAUGACUGAACCACCCAGGCGCCCCAAAUAUCAAAUAGAAGCAAAAUUGAGGAAAGGCAGAGCAAAAGAAGAAUGGUCCUGGUUCAUCUUGCUACUGGGGAAGUCAAGAUCCUGACAACUAAGGGUUAACUUCAGCCGAAGAAAUCACCCUCACACCAUAGACUCUGCCACGGGCCACGUUCCUCUCUCACUCACAUUCCUUCACGCACGCACACGUUCAUGUACACACAUACAUGCAUACACACGGAAGCACACGCUCACACUUGCACACACGGCCCUACUGUGCACAGCAUGGCUCCUGCUGACCCCACUGCAGGAGUCUGGAACACAUGGUAAGACUCCAUGUCCACAUCCCUGGGCUGAGAACUGACCCACUUUCACUGUGUUGACAAAGGUGAAGAGACGAACCAUGGAAGCGGUCCAGACAGAAGACCUGCAACCGCAACAAGAUCCUCCUGACCCAGAUUCCCGACGACGUGCGUCUGUGGCCAGGAUGGGCCGAGCACUUGUUCGUUUCAUCACACCUUGACCAGGAACCUAGAUCCACACAUGCCCACUGAACUGGCGCCGUGUGGCUGAUGGGGACAUUCUUGCUGUCUGGAAAAUUGGUAUUGAUCACUUCAGAAGACGUCCGCAGGCAGCAAUUGAUUGUGAUGGUUAACAUGGCCAAAAUGAUUGGAUUCCUCAGCACACAGCUGCAUUCCACACACUGUACCUGAGCUGGCUUUGGAUUUAAAGGUCAAAUUAUAACUGGUCAUCCAGGAGUGCAGCUUAAGUGCCCACGUUUAUUACCUAAACUCUUGUCAUACGGCUGCAGAGCUCACCAAUAGCAAAUAAAUAUCCUGUAGUUGGGAGUAAAGCAAGAAUAGGUAAUUAAGAACGAGGGAUAAAUUGCAAAUGCUCAGAACACAACUCCUAUACUUAAAACACAUUAUAUUUAUACCCACAAACUGAUAUGGCACAAAUUUAGGUUUUUUUAAUUUAAUUUUUUUAAAGUCUCAUUCACAAGUAGCAAAAGAUCAUUAUUGUGAACGAUAACUUGGGCUUCUUGUUUAUAUUCAAGAACCAACUCAGAUUAAAGUAAUCUUUGAAAAGGGCUUGAAUAGGAGAAUAAAUCAGUAUUGGUGUCAGUUUGUCUUAUUUCAAUAAUAGUCACUAUGGAAACG